rnacentral:lncRNA from 1 species
AUAUUAUACUAUACCUACGUAAGCGGUUACCGUAAAGGGUGCGACACUGGAUUUUAUGUGUCAGCUUGGAGAGUGUUUAGGGAUGAAAUUAACAUUUAAAUGGGUAAAUUUCAAGUAAACAGAUUGCCCCCCAUAAUGUGGGUGGGUCUCAUCCAAUCAGUUGAAAGCCUGAAAAGAACCAAAAGACCAGCUUCCCCAAGUAAGAUGGAAUCCUCCAGUACGCUGCCUUCGGACUUCAUCUGCAACAAUGGCUCUCCUGGGUCUCCAGCUUGACCAUCUCACAUUGUAGAUUUUGAACUCACCAAUCUCCAUAAUCAUGUGAGCCAAUUCCUUAUGAUAAAUCUCUCUCUCUCUGUUUACAUACACACACAUACACAUACACACACACACACACACACACACAUAAACACACACCCUAUUGGUUCAGUUUCUCUGGCAAAUCCUAACACAGGAUUAUUAGGGCAACUGGGCAAAGGGUGCAUGGGACCUCUCUGGACUCUUCUUGCAACUCCCUGUCAAUCCAUAAUAAUUUGAAAAUAAAAAGUUAAAAAUAAAAGUCAGGGUCAUGAAAGUCAAGGAGGGACUCAUAGAUUGUUCCAGACUGAAGGAUUCUAGAGAGACAUGACAGACCUCAUUACCUGAGAUUGGAUCCUUUUGCUAUUAAAGAUGUUAUUGGGUCAAUUGGAAAAACAUGAAAGGGGUUUCUGGGGCAGAAUAUAUGAGAAUUGUUAGUACUACACACACACACACACACACAGACACACACACACACAAAUUGUGUUUGAAGUUGUUUCAAAAUAAGAGGUUAAAAAAAUAAUCUAUGGAUCCAUGUAAGGUGUAGUGAUUUAUGGAUGAAGAUUUAGAGUAGAGGUCAGCAUACUUUUUCUGUAAGGGCUAGAUAAUAAACAUUUUUUUUUCAGCCUUGCAAACCAUAUAGUCUCUGUCAUCACCACUCAAUUCUGCUGUUAUAGCACAGAAAGCAGCCACAGAAAAUACAUGAACGAAUGGGAUGGCCAUAUUUGGACUAUGGCGGGCACAGGCUGAAGUUUGUCAAUUCCUAGUUUUGAAUAAGAGAUGUAUCUUUAUUGACCAACUGGUGUGCCUGAUGAUUCUUUGUAGAGUACAGGCAGCAUCUCUUCCUUCUCAUGCCCAGAAACCAUCUCCUCGUGCUCUUUAACAAAUGUGCCAUUCCUGGCUAACUUUCCAUCUCUCACCUUAGGAAUAAGAUAGAAGGCUGGGCACAGUGGCUCACACCUGUAAUACCAGCACUUUGGGAGGCCGAGCCAGGCGCAUCACUUGAGGCCAGGAGUUUGAGACCAGCCUGGCCAACAUGGAGAAACUCUGUCUCUACUAAAAAAUACAAAGAUUAUCCAAGCGUGGUGGCACAUGCCUGUGAUCCCCAGAUACUCGGGGGGCUGAAACACAAGAACCACUUGAGCCUGGGAGGUGAAGGUUGUAGUGAGUGAAGAUUACCCCACUGUACUCCAACCUGGAUGACAGAGUGAGACUCUGUCUCAAAAAAAGAAAAAAGAAAAAGAUAGCAAUGUUGUUAUUUACUUAUAAUACUGUAGCUCUUUGAAACCUAUUUGCCCAGAAACCAUAAAGGUUUUCUUGCUUCUGCUGUUCCCUGGAAUUGUGUAUUUCACACCAAUUAUAUCACUGUAUGGGACUCUUCACUGUCCACAUGCUUCCCUCAACACACUGCCCUUGAGAGGUAUUGCCCUCAAAGCUGCUACCGUGCUUCCCUGAUGAAGGUCACAAAUGCA